AGUAGCUCUUUAAUAAUUAUUAUAAUUAUUUUCCCUCGGUCUCCAUUUAAAUUCUCUAAUUUCUCGUAUAGGACUACUGAGGUGACGUCAUACCUCGGUGAUGGAACGUACUUCACCUAUCGAGAAUUAUUUCGCGUUCUGUGAGUUUGACGUCGUACUCUUGGAAGGAGAGACGAAUGUUCAUCACUUGACUGGUGGCUGUAGGUGAAGUUGGUUGCUACCAUAGAAUAUUAGAAUGGCGGUUGGUUUUUUAUUUUAUAACAUCAGUGAAAAGUGAAAAAGUUACCACAAAUGGUUUUCUACAGUAGGGAGGCAUGUGGGUAGAACAACCCCUCUUGGAAUAGGAAUAGAAAUCACCGCCAUUUUGGAGUAACCACAUGGUGAACUCAUAGCCCUUUGACACCUAGGGAAACCACUACAGCCACAGUCAAGUCACCUUGGGAAUAUGUCGAUUUGGGAGCAAGCUAUGGGAGCGUUCCAGCUCAAUUUUCGUCUUGGCACCUGGGCCUAUAGGAGUCAUGGGGUCGCACCAUCCUGGUGCAUCAUUUUCUAGGAUGCAACCGCAACCUCGUUUGGGAACAUUUAGUGAGGUGUUUUAGUAACUAUUGUUUUUUUUUUUAUAUUUCAGACUAUCUGUUAAAUACACUAUGUUUUUUUUCCAGAUUUAGGUUACCUCUGGUUUUUUUUGACAUAUUUGUAUAUUAGAUUAUUUGGUUCCCAAACUUUGUAUCUACGGUAACUUCUUGUGCACAGGAAUAAGCCUAGAGAAAAUUAGGUUUUUAAUACUUUAUUAUUGCUUUGAUAUUGGUUUAUGUAAUUCGGGUAAAUUUAUUUUUUAAUAUUACUAGCUUGUUUCCCAAAUAUUUUACUGUUAUUCGCUUUAUUCCAUUUGUUCGGUUAAUUUAGGUCAUCGUCGGUAUUUAUCUCAACUUCAUUUCUACUUUAGUCAAUUGUAUAUUUAACUUUAUUUAUUCAUUACUGUAUUUUCCCUUAGUGAGGCUUGGGCCUAUUUAUUUGUAGUAUUUUCAUCUUUGUCAGUUUCCUUAGUUGUACGUAGCAGGCGUACUAUAACCAUUUGGUAGAAGACUUAUGUAAUUUUGUACCCUAUAUGUAAGUAAGAUGUACUAAUACCUGUAAUUUUGUAACAGAUAACAUUAUUGUUGUUAUCUUAGAUAUAACCUCUGUAUAACUUUUGUCAUGUUAGAGUCACAGCAUAAUAUGAACUUGCUUAACUCAGAGAUUGUUAAAAAUCUGGUAGUUAUUUUUAAUAAAUAUUUACUUAUUUUGUAUAUCAAUUAUUUUAUUAUUCCUUUAUGUUCAUUAUUACAGGUUUAAUAUAUUUAAUAUUUGAAAGCAGUGUAAGAUACCUGGGAGAAUGAUCGAAGAUCAUUUUCAUGGCGCCCAUGAUUAGUUAGUUUUAUUUAUUUUGUUCGUUUUUAGUCAUUAUUCAUCUCCAUUCAUUUUCAGUACAUUAUUCUUAUUUUAUUAUUUCACCUUUUAGUCAUCAUUACUAUCUACUUAGAGCUACUGUUCUUCGACAGGCAUGCAAACGAGCCGUAUCCAUCCUUGAGUGUCAAGUUGCUCUCUUGCAUCUAUAGCUAGCCAACUCUAUUCAGUUUGCCUCUGUCUCUUCCCACUUCUACUUCUAUCCCUUCUAAUUCCCCUUUUUCAGUACAACUGCACUUUAGUAAUUUUUUUCCUACUGCAGCUUCUCAACGUAGAAGCCCAGUCAAUUCUUCAUUUUUCAUAAUAGCAGUUUAGUUAGUUUUUCUUUUCCUUACUUCUGUUGGAGUAUAUCACUCCAACAGAAGUGCAUUUUGUUACACCACCAGAAUGAAAACAAUGGGAACCUUCUCUGGUUACACCUCCGAGGCUUCUACAAUUUGCAAGCCAUACGGAUGCUGAGACUAAGGAAGAUGAGGGAAUUCUACAAUUUACAAUUCACGUCCCAUCUGCUCAGCGCGGUAAAGUUCCAACGAGAAUGGUUCCCUUCAUACUCCACACAGAGUAAAUGUAAAUCAAAAAUGAAUCGGCGUUAUCGAAAUGCCUCCCACUUUAUCAGGUAAAUAUUUUCAUACAUGAAAUGCCUCCCAGGUACAAUCGAAAUGCCUCCGUUUCGUUAAUCAUUUAGGCUUAUAUUUUGUCUAUUUAAUCUCUGUUUAAUGCCACAAUGUUGCCAAAUCAUAAUUUAAAUAGGUAGUAUCUAUCUAUUUUGAUUUUUCUAAAUCUUCAUGCAGUGUACAUAAAAUUUUUUUCACAUAAAUAUUUCACAGUACGACAUAUUUCUUUUUAGAAAAGAAAGUUGUUAGCCGACAAUCUAAUAUCUAGCUUUUCUGGGUAAUUCCAAUUCCGAUUUACUUUUACCUUAAUCUUUUUGUUUGUUUUUAUUCUCUGGGUAAUUCCAAUUCCGAUUCUAAUCUCUUCUUAACGAUUCCAUGAAUAGGCACUUUUACCUUAAUCUUUUUGUUUGGUUAUAUUAUCUGUUGUAAAUUGUGCUAAUGGGCUAAAUGUUGUAUAAAUACGUGAAAGUUUAUUAGUUCCUGCAUCAGUCAAUUUGUCUAUUUCAAGCUUGUCAGUUCGUCGAUUUCAAGAUCAAAUUGUGUUUAAGUCAUAACAUCCGAAAUAAUGGAAUCAACGAUAAGUGUGAGUCAAAAGGGCAAACCUUUAUUAUCAAUUGAUGGUUUUACAUUCGGUUUUCAAAUGUUGGCUAAAGAUACAGUAAAACGGUGGACAUGAACUAAAAAAAAA